UACGGAGGGUGCAAACGUUGCUCGGAAUCAUUGGGCGUAAAGCGCACGUAGGCGGACUGUUAAGUCGGAUGUGAAAGCCCUCGGCUUAACCGAGGAAGUGCAUUCGAAACUGGCAGUCUUGAGUACAGAAGAGGGUCGCGGAAUUCCCGGUGUAGAGGUGAAAUUCGUAGAUAUCGGGAGGAACACCAGUGGCGAAGGCGGCGACCUGGGCUGAUACUGACGCUGAGGCACGGAAAGCGUGGGGAGCAAACAGGG
rnacentral:rRNA from 1 species